AUUAACUAUUGUUUAAUGCUCUUCACCAUGCAGGUGCAAAGGAUAUCGCCAAUCUUACAGAUGCCUUUGAAUGGACUUGAAGCUGUUCUCCAGGAGGUGGUACUAGCACAAGGAGACAAAGCUUACCUCGCCCUGGUAACCACCCUGGUAACCACCAUGCCAAGACACACCUUGGCAUGCCAUGCAAGUGCUUUGAAGCCAUUGUGUCUGACCCAGUUUCCGGGAAGAAGACUCACUUUGCUUGGCCGGAUGGUGAGAUCCACUGGGGUAAAUUUUUAGAGUCAUUCAAGGCAGAAAAUCGGAUUCCUUUUGCGGUUGAAACGUGUUCUUCCUGCAACCGGCAAUAUAAAGACUGUGUGGGCUUCACCGGAAAUGGAAGACGAGGAGAGUACCCUCGUUGCUUCUCUGAUGGCAAACCUGGACGCUGUCCUGAAUGUCAAUACUGAAUGCAAGGAGAAUAUUAGUUGUUUUCCAGUCUUUUACACAUUUCAGUUGUCACAUAUUGUUGUUCGGGUUUUUUUUUUGUGACAUGCCAUUUUAAAUAAUUUCUGCUGAAGCACA